CGCCCUUUCUUGACAAACUCACCCCUCUUUCUAAUUUUGCUUCUGCUACAGCGUCUAGAAACUAAAAGCGCUACUUCGACGUGAAAUGGCGUUGCUUCGACGACUCUUCUACCGGAAACCUCCUGAUGGACUGCCAGAGAUCUCCAAGCGAAUUUACGGGCUACUCUGGAGAAAAGGAAAAGUUGGGAAAAUGUGAGCAGGUCUGUCAAUUCAUCUUCACUUUGUUACUUCUUGUCUUUAUUCUUUUGUCAAAAUGGCAAUCUGGUAUUGACUGGUAUUUAGCUACUGCAUGUAUAUCCUCUUUCCUUUCUUUUUUACCUCAAAUGCUUCUUAUUUGUGAGCCCUUGAUUGGAGUUAUGUAAGAUAGGGAUUUAAAUUGGAACUUAUUGCAUUUACCCUGCCCAACCUUUUAUGCAUCCAAAUUUUUUGUUGGAACAUUCAUGCUUAACUCUUUGUAUAUAAAUUUCUAUAUUUAAUUUAAAUUUGAAUUCUUAUUAUUUGGAUUUUCUUAAAGAGUUAGUAUCAACUUGAGUAAUUAUAUACACCCCAAAUAAUAUCCCAAAAUUCACAUCCCAAAUGAUGUGUCAUCCUAUUUGACGCUGCCAUAUCAUUCACCGCCUCACCCAUUUAGUUUCAUGUCACCACCACAUAGGAUUACACAUCACUUGGGAUGGGAAAUUUGAGGUUACUUUUGGGAUGUGUAGUAUCAUUGGUCAUUGUUAGGAACCCAACACUGUUCCAAUUCUAAACCAUAUUAAACCAAGUAGUUGACAAACAAAAACAGAGAUGAUAGUUUGUAAUAUAUGUUGAAUGUUAGUUGUGUUUACAAGAAUAACAAUUCUCUUUCCUGUACACAAAUAAGAAAACAAUAAUACUCAUGCGUCCAGUUAUUCGAGAAACCGAAAUUGCUCCAUGAAUUUCCUAGCUUUUGAGAGGCUAGGCAGUCUCCCUAAUUCACCGCAGGAAUUGUGAAAGUUGAGAAGAUUGCCAUGGGAACAAAGGUUGUAACUGCAAGCAACUUCAAAAAAUUGUUUAGUUUGCUUAUUAUUAAAGAUGUAUAACUUGGAGGAAAAUAAGCUACGAAGGCUUCAUCUUGGUAUCAUAAAAUAGCUAUCAUAAAUCCCAAUUGAUAUUUUGGUAUUCAGUAUAGGUUUAUAUAGUCGAACUCUUUUAUAUAUUGGCCAAACAUAGUGUUAUAAAAGAGCUCUUAGUUGCACUUGACAGGACAUAAAAGGCUUGAAUUGAAGCUCAUGUUCUUUUGAUGAA